rnacentral:lncRNA from 1 species
AAACUUGGCCGGAUUGUGGUCAGAGAAGGCUGCUCUUUACGCGGAAAACUUAUUUUCACCUCCAACAAGUCAUAUGCAAUGCCAGACAUGUGAGAACUACUUUGCAGCUGUAAAAGGAUGGUGUAGGCCUCAUUUUCUUGACUUCUAUAGCCAAAACUUGCAAGAUUGAAGAGGAAUAGAGAGACAUACGGGAAAAACUUGGAGUGCAGAGAUGUAGCUCUUGCACUUUCU